AAAGUCGUAACAAGGUAACCGUAGGUGAACCUGCGGUUGGAUCAUUACUGAUUUUUGUUUCUAUGGAGUUGAUACCUUUACGGAGUCCUCCAUAGAGACUAACUACCCCUUGUGCACCAAAUGUUUUUUGGGUCACAGUAGGUAGGGUAGAGUAAGCGUAAGCAUACGCUAUCCUACUGGUGGCCCAGUUGUAAAGACCAUAUCAAUUGUCUGAAAUCUCUAUAUAAAUAGAAACAACUUUUGACAACGGAUCUCUUGGCUCUC
rnacentral:misc_RNA from 1 species